UACGUAGGGGGCUAGCGUUGUCCGGAAUCAUUGGGCGUAAAGCGCGCGUAGGCGGCCAGAUAAGUCCGGUGUGAAAGCCACAGGCUCAACCUGUGAAUGCCGCUGGAAACUGUCUGGCUAGAGUCCGGGAGGGGCGAGUGGAAUUCCUGGUGUAGCGGUGAAAUGCGCAGAUAUCAGGAGGAACACCAAUGGCGAAGGCAGCUCGCUGGAACGGAAGCUGACGCUGAGGCGCGAAAGCGUGGGGAGCGAACAGG
rnacentral:rRNA from 1 species